rnacentral:rRNA from 1 species
UACAGAGGGUGCGAGCGUUAAUCGGAAUUACUGGGCGUAAAGCGUGCGUAGACGGCUAUCUAAGUCGGGUGUGAAAGCCCCGGGCUCAACCUGGGAAUUGCAUUCGAGACUGAAUAGCUAGGGUACGGUAGAGGGAAGUGGAAUUUCCGGUGUAGCGGUGAAAUGCGUAGAUAUCGGAAGGAACAUCGAGUGGCGAAAGCGACUCCUGGACCAGUACCGACGUU